rnacentral:rRNA from 1 species
GACGAACGCUGGCGGCGUGCCUAAUACAUGCAAGUAGAACGCAGUUGCGAACGGGUGAGUAAAGCGUAGGUAACUGCCUCAUAGCGGGGGAUAAAUAUUGGAAAAGAUAGCUCAUAACGCAUACUGUGAGAUGUAACUGCGUUGUAUUAGCGAGUUGGUGAGGUAAAGGCCCACCAAGGCGCCGAUAAAUAGCAGACCUGAGAGGGUGAUCGGCCACACGGGGACUGAGAACCGGGCCAGACUCCUACGGGAGGCAGCAGUCGGGAGUCUUCGGCAAUGGACGGAAGUCUGACCGAGCAACGCCGCGUUAGGGAAGAGGGUUUUCGGAUCUUAAAGCUCUUUUGUUAGAGAAGCGGUACCUAACCAGAAAGGGACGGCUAACUACGUGCCAGCCGCCGCGGUAAUUC